UUCGCUAUGAGAAGUAGAUAAGGACAAUUAGUUUGUGCCUCACGUCUAGUUAUCAUUCAGCUGAGCUGGCUGCUGAAGCUUCACGUUUGCACGUAACACUCCUUGUAUUUAAUCAAAUGCUGAAGAAGCAAGACAGAAGAUAGGAUGGAGAAGGAAAAGGGAAUGCAGACAACUUUUACUUAAUAUUUUAAGUGUGAAGUCACAGCUGUCAGUUCUCAUUGACAUUUUCCCAUAUUCUGCUUAAUUAGUGUCUUUAUUGCCAUAAACGGAGUCUGUUUCUUCUUGCUAAAUAAAAACUGGUAGAGAAAGUUAUUUAAUCUGAAAUUUUGUCUUCCUCAAAAAAGAUGUUAACCAGUAAGUUUAGCAUGCUCUCUUUUCUCAUUGUGAUCUGCUAAGCAUUUUGGCAUACACAUGUUUAUUCUAAGUAAGGAAUCAUGAACAACCUUGAGAUUCACACCAUGGAAUUGUCACUAAAGGGACACCAUUAGAAGUUUCAAGCAAGGUCAUGGAUUCAUUUCAUUGUCAUUUUAACAAGGCAUCCCUGACUUCAUGACGGCAAGGAGAACAGCUAAAAGUCUGGGUGCACCUGGCAUAGGUAAGUUAUUUAAUGCUUUGUAAAAAAACUGAGGGACUGAACCAAUACUGAGAAAGUAUUGGAAAUGAUGGUGAAGAAACAUAUUAUAUAUAUGCUUACGAUUCAUAACUAACAAGAUUGUGACUCAGUGUAUGCAGGGCAUGAGAUUUGAGUACUUAUUUGCUAAGUUUCUGGUUGUUCUAACUUGAGACACUACGUAGACAUCAAUGCUUUACUCAUAUGAGAAAUAAAGAAAGUCUUUGUGUAAACUUA